GGCCUGGUGGUCUAGUAGUAUGAUUCCUUCUUAGGGCUCAAUAAGUCAGAUUGGAGGAGGUCCCGGGUUCAAUUCCCGGCCAGGCCC